rnacentral:lncRNA from 1 species
AAGUCUCCUGCUAGGACAACUUCCAUUGGAACAAUGAAGUCUUGCGCUCUUCUUUCGCUCUUAGAGCUCUUUACCACUGUGUCAUAGAAGAUGAGAAGUUUAAGAAGAGAUACCCAUGGUUAGGGGGAGGCUGCUAUCUACAAUGUAACAAUGGGGGCAUCUGUGUCUUUAACGACGAUGAUGAACCAGUCUGUAGUGUUCCUUGAAUUAGAGCAAACUGCAUACAUUAGUUUAUGACUUAAGAACUGCUGUUGAAGUCACGAAUCCACGGAGGUUUCGGACAUUUUAGAACAGAUGUAUCUCAAAUACUUCCGGAACGACUUCCGGAGUCCAUAUAUGGCAAAGUUGAAGACGGGCACCAACAAAUUAACGGACACAGUGAAGGGGACAAGAUACACGACCGCCUUUCGGAAAGAACUUGGCAGUUUUGCAGACAGUGCCAUCAUGGCCAGGACGACAUCUACCGGUAUGUUUGUCACAACGAACACCAUGAUUAGGAUAAUAAUUACAAUGGUGACUUCUCGGCUAGGUUUGGUGGCGUUUUGGAGUGCGUCCCCGACACGUCUAUCACUGGCCCAAACAGUUACGGGAAUCCGGACAUUGGUGUAUACCAGAAUGCAAAGCGGCACCACAGAAACUAUCACCAGGUGUAGUCCGAACAUGUAGAUUUCAGUAAACAUAGGCCACUUCUUCAGCCUAAUGCGAAAACAUGAGCCUGGAGCAGGACUUUAUGGUGGCAGAUUCAAAUGCUACCUGUCUUGCCAAGUGAAAGAUUGUGAAAAAAAACAUGAGAAGUAUCUGCAAACUCUGUGUCAGUGUUUGACUGCAAGAACUUAUCUUUUUUACUAGUAUUUUUCUUCAUGUCUUGACAUUUCAUUUUCAACAACUUAUUAUUUUUUAACAUAAUAUGCAAUAGCCGUAUUUAUUUAUUUAUUUUUAUUCAUUUAUUUAUUAAAGUUCUGCUCUUUUAAUUUACGGUUUCAUGUUUCAUGUUGAAUAAGAUGAGAAGUUUAAGAAGAGAUAUCCAUGGUGAGGGGGAGACCGUUACUUUCAAUGUAAGAAUGGAAGCACCUGCGUCUUUCACGAUGAUGAACCAGUCUGUAGCUGUAGAAGUGGUUUCGGUGGAAAAUAGUGCAUUACGCAGCUGACCAAUGAAUGCCGUAAAAAGUGCGCCAUCGGUGGCGCGUGCGUGAUGACCUUGAUUGGCCACUACGGCCAAUGUCCAGAUGGCUACAGCCUGAAAUUUUGCAACUUUUCCUUUUUUGGAAGUGUUAUAGCAACAAAGUAGAAUUUUUCUAAAUAAAUUAAGCUGAAUUUCUCAAAAAAAGUUAUUUUGACAUAUUUUCACUUUUUCUGUUUAGUCUUUAAUCACGAGGCACUGGGGUGAAUAGUAUUUAAUUUGUAUUUGGACAUCACAUUAAAGAAGUGGUUAAAAUGCAAGGAAUAUAACUGUAGUCAGUAUUUGUACACGAGGAAUUUGACAAAUAAUGCAAAAGAAAUCAUAGUGCAGGAAACAUUUUGGAACUCGAAAUGCAUUGGCGAGUUUUCUGUGUACAAUAUUUUUCCUUAAUUUAAUUGAAAAAAUACUAUAACUGAAGCUAAUGUAUCCCGUUCUAAUAAAGCAAACUAAAUCAGACUA